UACGGGGGGGGCGAGCGUUGUUCGGAAUUACUGGGCGUAAAGGGUUUGUAGGUGGCCUGCUAAGUCAGACGUGAAAUCCCUCAGCUUAACUGGGGAACUGCGUCUGAUACUGGCGGGCUUGAGGACAGGAGAGGAACGCGGAAUUCCAGGUGUAGCGGUGAAAUGCGUAGAUAUCUGGAGGAACACCGGUGGCGAAGGCGGCGUUCUGGACUGUCUCUGACACUGAAAAACGAAAGCCAGGGGAGCAAACGGG
rnacentral:rRNA from 1 species